AUUGAACGCUGGCGGCAGGCCUAACACAUGCAAGUCGAGCGAGUGGCGGACGGGUGAGUAAUAUCUGGGGAUCUGCCCGAUGGAGGGGGAUAACUACUGGAAACGGUGGCUAAUACCGCAUACUAUCGGAUGUACCCAUAUGGGAUUAGCUAGUAGGUGGGGUAAAGGCUCACCUAGGCGACGAUCUCUAGCUGGUCUGAGAGGAUGACCAGCCACACUGGAACGGAGACACGGCCCAGACUCCUACGGGAGGCAGCAGUGGGGAAUAUUGCACAAUGGGCGCAAGCCUGAUGCAGCCAUGCCGCGUGUAUGAAGAAGGCCUUAGGGUUGUAAAGUACUUUCAGCGGGGAGGCGUUACCCGCAGAAGAAGCACCGGCUAACUCCGUGCCAGCAGCCGCGGUAAUAC
rnacentral:rRNA from 1 species